AGGGGUAUAGCUUAAUGGUAGAGCACAUGCUUAGCAUGAAGGAGGCCCUGAGUUCAAUCCCCAGUACCUCUG
rnacentral:tRNA from 1 species